UGUGAAGGUGGCCUGUGAGGGUUGCUGGAGGUAUCAGAAGUGCGAAUGCUGACAUAAGUAACGAUAAAGCGGGUGAAAAGCCCGCUCGCCGGAAGACCAAGGGUUCCUGUCCAACGUUAAUCGGGGCAGGGUGAGUCGACCCCUAAGGCGAGGCCGAAAGGCGUAGUCGAUGGGAAACAGGUUAAUAUUCCUGUACUUGGUGUUACUGCGAAGGGGGGACGGAGAAGGCUAUGUUGGCCGGGCGACGGUUGUCCCGGUUUAAGCGUGUAGGCUGGUUUUCCAGGCAAAUCCGGAAAACCAAGGCUGAGGCGUGAUGACGAGGCACUACGGUGCUGAAGUGACAAAUGCCCUGCUUCCAGGAAAAGCCUCUAAGCAUCAGGUAACAUCAAAUCGUACCCCAAACCGACACAGGUGGUCAGGUAGAGAAUACCAAGGCGCUUGAGAGAACUCGGGUGAAGGAACUAGGCAAAAUGGUGCCGUAACUUCGGGAGAAGGCACGCUGAUAUGUAGGUGAAGCGACUUGCUCGUGGAGCUGAAAUCAGUCGAAGAUACCAGCUGGCUGCAACUGUUUAUUAAAAACACAGCACUGUGCAAACACGAAAGUGGACGUAUACGGUGUGACGCCUGCCCGGUGCCGGAAGGUUAAUUGAUGGGGUUAGCGGUAACGCGAAGCUCUUGAUCGAAGCCCCGGUAAACGGCGGCCGUAACUAUAACGGUCCUAAGGUAGCGAAAUUCCUUGUCGGGUAAGUUCCGACCUGCACGAAUGGCGUAAUGAUGGCCAGGCUGUCUCCACCCGAGACUCAGUGAAAUUGAACUCGCUGUGAAGAUGCAGUGUACCCGCGGCAAGACGGAAAGACCCCGUGAACCUUUACUAUAGCUUGACACUGAACAUUGAGCCUUGAUGUGUAGGAUAGGUGGGAGGCUUUGAAGUGUGGACGCCAGUCUGCAUGGAGCCGACCUUGAAAUACCACCCUUUAAUGUUUGAUGUUCUAACGUUGGCCCCUAAUCGGGGUUGCGGACAGUGUCUGGUGGGUAGUUUGACUGGGGCGGUCUCCUCCUAAAGAGUAACGGAGGAGCACGAAGGUUGGCUAAUCCUGGUCGGACAUCAGGAGGUUAGUGCAAUGGCAUAAGCCAGCUUGACUGCGAGCGUGACGGCGCGAGCAGGUGCGAAAGCAGGUCAUAGUGAUCCGGUGGUUCUGAAUGGAAGGGCCAUCGCUCAACGGAUAAAAGGUACUCCGGGGAUAACAGGCUGAUACCGCCCAAGAGUUCAUAUCGACGGCGGUGUUUGGCACCUCGAUGUCGGCUCAUCACAUCCUGGGGCUGAAGUAGGUCCCAAGGGUAUGGCUGUUCGCCAUUUAAAGUGGUACGCGAGCUGGGUUUAGAACGUCGUGAGACAGUUCGGUCCCUAUCUGCCGUGGGCGCUGGAGAACUGAGGGGGGCUGCUCCUAGUACGAGAGGACCGGAGUGGACGCAUCACUGGUGUUCGGGUUGUCAUGCCAAUGGCACUGCCCGGUAGCUAAAUGCGGAAGAGAUAAGUGCUGAAAGCAUCUAAGCACGAAACUUGCCCCGAGAUGAGUUCUCCCUGAGACUUAGAGUCUCCUGAAGGAACGUUGAAGACGACGACGUUGAUAGGCCGGGUGUGUAAGCGCAGCGAUGCGUUGAGCUAACCGGUACUAAUGAACCGUGAGGCUUAACCUU
rnacentral:rRNA from 1 species